UAGUGUCAGUGCACUGUGCUGCUCAUCGCCUUGCACUAGCAUGUAAAGAUGCAGCAGAUGGAGUGCCAUAUAUGAAAAUAUUCAGAAAGCACCUACAAGACCUGCACCUUUAUUUUAGGAAUAGUGCAAACCGCACCAGCGCUCUAAAAGCAGCUGCAAGUGUGCUUGGAGUAGAAGACCUGAAAGUCACAGAGGUUAAGGACACUAGGUGGCUAUCACAAGAGAAGGCCAUUUCAAAUCUUCAAAGAAAUCUACCUGCAGUGCUUGCUACACUAGCUGAGGAGGCAGAAUUAAAAAAGGACCCUGUGGCACGGGGGUUGUACACCUACUGUGCAACUUACAGAUUCGUUGCAGCUGUCCACCUGCAAUCGGACAUCCUGCCCUACCUGGCGCAGCUUUCAAAAUUGUUCCAGAAGGAAGAUAUCAAUUUCAUGGCAAUCAAGAACCAUGUUCCUGUUACCAUUGAGACAUUGAGAAUAAUUAAAGCAGCAGGUGAACGGCAACCCGAGGGCUCCUUUCUAGCUCAGGUUGAAGAGAAGGUGGCCAAUCUGAACAUCAGUGCCGAAGAAGACAGGGUGAGGCGUGGGACAGCUCUUCCCACCGACACCUUAUGGGCACGUUUUCAGACACAA